GAGGGUAUAGCUCAGUGGUAGAGCAUGUGCUUAACAUACAUGAGUUCCUGGAUUCAAUUCCCAGUACCUCCA
rnacentral:tRNA from 1 species